CAGGGAGACAACAAAAUGUUAAAUAUUAAUUUUGUCACCUUAGGUCGAUCGGUAUCUCACAUUCUUAAUUUAUUAAGAAUUUUAUUUCCUAAGUUUUUUCUAGGUCACACCCAUUACUUUUCCUGGGCCAUUAGCUCAGGUGGUUAGAGCGCACCCCUGAUAAGGGUGAGGUCCCUGGUUCAAGUCCAGGAUGGCCCAUAUCUCUAUGUUGGGGGUAUAGCUCAGUUGGUAGAGCGCCUGCUUUGCAAGCAGGAUGUCAGCGGUUCGAGUCCGCUUACCUCCACUGAUUCCCACCUCUUCCAUAACCGGUAGAAAGGAAAUGUUUUGAGUUGUGAUUAUUAUUCUGAACGAAUCUAGCUUCCUAAUAAAAUUAUUAAGAUGCUGGACUCAUUGAAUUAAUUUCAUUGUUUUCAGAGAACCUUGACAACUGCAUAGAUUUUUUUUAAAGACAAUAAGCAUCUUUAAUGAUGCAGAUUUAUUAUUUGUGCGAAUGCAUUAAUAACAAUUCUAUUAGGCUGAUGCUUCAAUUAUUGAAGUUAUU
rnacentral:tRNA from 1 species